UAUCCAGAGUGCGACGAGGGACUGGCCCAAUGACUCGCCAGCAACCUGCUCGGGAAGCGAGUAAGGUGCUAAUUCCAGCCUGUGCGCAGGGAAGAUA
rnacentral:ncRNA from 1 species